GACGUCGAUGUUAAUGAAGACCUUAUUGCUUAGCCCUUUCCAAAUAUACCAUAAAAGCAAUGGAAACUAAUGAUUAUCCCGUGAAGGUGGAAUCCUCCAGUACAAGUAAAUCAUAUUUGCAUAAACCAUUUGUAAAAAGAAGAUGUCUGGAUUCGAUUGGAUCCUUGAGAUAGCUUAUGUUUGGACUACUGAUGGACAUUCAAAGAAAACAUGAUUUAUUGAUUCCUCUUUUGCUCCACUGCAUGUACACCGAGUGUCGCUUUAUAUAUUUUUAACCCACAUAUAUUUUUUUUUACCGAAAGACAUCUUAAUACUAAUUGCCAUAAAAUGCUUGAUCUUUGGUAGGCAUUGUAUUUUCCAAAGGAAAAACUUUUAAUGGAAUGCUUUUGAACAUUCACCAAUUACUUAUUAAUGACAUUUUAUUAUUUUUAAUUGUGUACUUAAAUUUUUUUUAUUAAAAACUACUCCUUCUGUUCCCAAAAGUAGGAUUUUCUAGAGUUAUUUUUUGUUCCAAAAUAAUAGAUUUUUCUAGAAUUUUAAAGUACUUUUAGUAGUUAAUGUUGAUAAAUUGUAUAUUUUAAAAAACAUUAAUUGAAAAUAUUUAAAUUGAUUAAAUUUUAUUGGUUGAUAGUUAUUGGAAAAUGUAUAGUGAAAUAAACAAUAAAUUCAAUUGUAAACAUUUAUUAUUUUUUUAAUAUACGUGAAUACUUUAUAAAUUUUUUUUUUCAGGAACAGAGAAAGUAGUUAUAAAAAACAUUUUUUGGUGUAAAGUUAUAAAAAAAAACAUGUUGCAACUGAAUAUUUUUACCCAAUUUUUUUCUUUAGUAAAGAAACCAGUUACAUACAACGCUGAUGAGCUGAGAAUCUUUAGAUGGUGGCAAUUUGCAAUAUUUUUACAAUACAAUCCACUAAUCGUUUAUGUUAUUUAAGAAAAAAUAAAUCAACGAAAUUAUAAUUUAAAAAAAAAAACAAGAGAAGGUUACGCAAAAAUGUCGACAUACUUGGCGUGUGCCUACAACAUUCUAGAGAAUUGAUUACCAAAUGUCUCCCUUCUCUUAAAAAGUCGACUCUAAACCCGUUGCCCAAACUGCAUCAGGAUGUCGACAUUACUUGUUCCUUUCUCCAACUUAUAUUUUAUUUCUGUAACCAACCUAUCGAGAUUCUCGUACUUACCCUCCCACUCAUUCAUGUUGUUGGAUGUUUCCGGGAUAUCCUCUUACGCAAAUCUCUCCACUUUUUUUUUCAUGAUCCCAACGAGAUCUUCUUCUUAGUCACCCAAUGUUCGUCAAUCUCUGAUUUGAUCCCAUCCUUUGCAAUUUGUGAUAUUGAAUUGAAAAAAAGCUGAUUCUGGGUUUUAUUGUUUAGGUUCUUUGGAACUUGUUCCCUCUCUCAGGUAUUUCAUCGAACACCUUGUCAACAAUCUCCAGUGAAAGAAUGAUUCAUACUUUUUUUUCCUUCUUAAUUUAAAGUCUUUGCAUCUAAUGUGAAGGUCUUCGCAAUCUCACAUUGAGUUUAAGAAUUUUACACGAACUUACCUGUUUAAAGAUUCAUUCUUUUGUUCUGUUCUGUUUUAUCUGCUUAAAGAUUCGUAGUUUUCUUCUGUUAUGUUUGGUUCUAUUCUGUUCUGUUUCAUCUGUUUAAAGAUUCUUACUUUUGUUCUGUUCUGUUUUAUAAGAUUCAUACUUUUCUUCUGUUAUGUUUGGUUCUAUUCUGUUCUGUUUUAUCUGUUUAAAGAUUCUUACUUUUGUUCUGUUCUGUACUAAAAAAACAGCAACAGAGUCCAUUUUGCAGAUAGUUCCGGACACAAUGGCUGCUUCAUCAUCAACCAUCCUCUGCAAUGCCUCCGAGUCAGACCCUUGUCGUGACGACUCCGCAGCGUUUCUACUGAAGCUAGUAGCCAUUGCAUCCAUCCUCUUAUCCGGUGCAGCAGGUGUAUCUGUACCACUCAUUGGCAGGAACCGCCGGUUCCUUCAAACCGACGGCAGCCUCUUUGUAACCGCUAAAGCCUUUGCAGCAGGUGUGAUCCUCGCCACUGGGUUUGUUCACAUGUUAGCCGGAGGCACAGAGGCUUUGAAGAACCCGUGCUUGCCGGAGUUCCCUUGGUCUAAGUUUCCUUUCCCGGGGUUCUUUGCUAUGGUUGCUGCUUUGAUCACUCUGCUUGUGGAUUUCAUGGGGACUCAGUACUAUGAGAGGAAGCAAGAGAGGGAAGCUGAUGAUGAUCAGUUGCAGGGUAUUGUUGUUCCCUUGGUUGGUGAAGGAGGAUGUAACGAUGAGAAAGUGUUUGGAGAAGAAGACAAUGGUGGAAUUCACAUUGUUGGCAUUCAUGCUCAUGCUGCUCACCAUAGACAUAGUCACCCUCAUGGUCAUGGUUCGUGUGAUGGACACAGUAAAAUCGACAUUGGUCAUGGACAUGGACACGUGCAUGGGGGUUUGGAGCUUGGAAGUGGUGCAAGGCAUGUUGUUGUUUCUCAGGUACAAACUCUUUCUUGAUUCUUGUACAGCUUUAAAAUGUCCAAAAAUGAAUCUUUAUAUGAUUUGGUUAGGUUUUGGAGCUUGGGAUCGUGUCACACUCCAUUAUCAUCGGCAUAUCACUUGGAGUAUCUCAGUCUCCAUGCACAAUCCGGCCACUCAUCGCAGCACUAUCCUUCCACCAAUUCUUUGAAGGGUUUGCGCUCGGUGGAUGCAUCUCCCAAGCGCAGUUCAGGAACAAGUCAGCGACCAUAAUGGCAUGCUUUUUCGCCCUCACGACGCCUAUAGGGAUAGGGAUUGGAACUGCAGUGGCGUCGUCUUUCAACUCUCACAGCGUUGGAGCGUUGGUCACGGAAGGUGUAUUGGAUUCGCUGUCGGCAGGGAUACUUGUGUACAUGGCUUUGGUGGAUCUUAUAGCUGCUGAUUUCUUGAGUAAGAGGAUGAGUUGUAACUUUAGGCUUCAGAUUGUUUCUUAUUUGAUGUUGUUCCUUGGAGCUGGACUCAUGUCUUCUCUUGCUAUUUGGGCUUAGAUUGUGAGAUUCUUUCUUUUGUUAUAGCUGCUACAAACAAUGUGUAUAGUUCUAGAAUAAUCAAAUCUCGGAUGAGUUAUUCUUUCUUCUGUUGCCUGGAUGUUUUUGUUCUACAGUUUCCUUAUAAAAUAGAGGAAUUGGAAUUAAGUAUGCGAAAAAAAUAUAUUAAAAAAGUAUCUCCAAUGUUCAAAGACAAUGUUUUGAGAUUAUAAAAAUAAAAAAAAUAAAUAAAAGGGAGAUAAGGUUAGAUUUUCAUCAAAGGUGCACCACUCAUAGUCCUCAAAGAAACUGUACUUCCAGUGUUCAAAGAUAACGUUUAGAUUCUCAUCAAAAGUUCUUCAGAAAUUGCAUUACCAUAAGUUUGAAACAGUUAUCCAUUGAUCUAACCAAAAGAUGGUCCAAACCAAGAACAAUUACAACAGACAACAAUAUAGAUUAUACUAAAGUAACAACAAACUCAACCCAAAAUGUAAAGACAUGAAUGAUUAUGAAACCAUCAAAAGCAGCAUGUUAAUGGAGCUUUUGUCUUAAACAAUGUCAUCUUCUCUGUGGGUCUCAAUGGUAACAUCAGAAGUAGGAUAAGCCGCACAGGUGAGAACAAACCCUGCAGCAAUCUGGUCAUCAUCGAGGAAACUCUGGUCAGACUGGUCAACAAAACCAGACACAACUUUACCUGCACAGCUCGAGCAAGAACCGGCACGGCAAGAGUAAGGCAAGUCGAUCCCGGCUUCCUCAGCAGCGUCGAGGACGUAAACGUCGUCGUCGCACUCAACCUCUUGCUCUCCUUCGGGAGUGAUGAACUUGACCUUGUAUGUAGCCAUGGCUGUGACGCGUCCACCACGUGCGGUUCCUGACUUGAGGCCGAAGAGGGUCUGAGUGUUGGCUAAGGGGAGGGAACGGAGGCUGAUGGGAGAUGUUUGACGGCGGAGGAAGGAUGUUCCGACGAUGACGCUUGAGAUAGCUGUGGAGGCCAUUUCUUUUCUUUAGAGGAUUUGAGAAGGUUUCUUGGGUUCUCUGUGGGUUAUGGCUUGUGGAAAUGGCAUGGAGAGAUUAAAAGGUGAGACUGUGGUGGAAUCCUAUCUUCCACGUGGCGUUUAUCUUGUGGGUUGGUGGCUUAUCAUCUUCAUGUUCUGGUGAAUUGUGAUUUGUUUCCUUUUUGUGUGUGAUUGUGUUUGACACACUUUACACUAUCUUGUUGAUGUGAGCUGUACGUGGUGUUAUUUGGGACAACUCACACUAGAUUAGACGGACCAAACUGAAAUUGUUGGUACAGGUCCGGUUAUAAAUUCUGAAGCGAACAGCAGAUUUUAAGAUAUUCAUUUAUCCAAAAGUUUAAACCAAAAAAAAAAAAAAAUUCAGUUCAAUACACCAAUUUGUUUUUUUUAACCGUAACAAACCAAAAAUCUAUUCGGUUCAGUCGGCAUAAAUUUUUUUUGGGGUGGGGGAUUUUCCGCCUACCUCUUUACAGAGAUGAACGCUUUACCAAAAAAAACGGGGAGAAAAAGCUCUCCGUAGCAAAAAAAAGAAAAGAGGAUUUCAAUAAGAAAAUAAAUUGGAUUCUCAAAUCACUACACAAUUUGUCUUCCUCCCUCCACUCAUUCCACAUUUUCCCUUGUUUUGUAAUAAUCUAAACCCGUAAGAAGCUUCUUUCUAACAGACUUAACUGCCACCAACCAACAUUCUUCUCUCCCGCGUUUGCUUUACGCUCUUGCUUCACUAACUCUCUCGCUCUCUCUCUCUCUCUUUCUAAUCGCACUUGAUGUUUCUGUAGAUCCUCCUUACAAACAGAUUCGAUCCUAAGAACCCAACAGCUCCUGCACAUUCAAUUACCAACGUAUUUUCAGACCAAACCAAAUGCCAGUUUUGAAAGUGAGAACGAGAGAGUGAAAAGAUAACUAACCGCAAAGGAUUCCGAGGCCAAGACAGAACAUCAAGGUGUAUCCGAAGUAGAAACUGGUCUGGAAAAACCCAAACAUCUUUGUCUUUACGUAGUAGUAAUAGAUCGAGUAUAAGUAGACAUAAACCGCAGUCGAAGCAGCUGAGAAGAACGACGUCCAUUGCCAGUGAUAGUUUUCCGCAUUUAGCAAGAAGUAUGUUCCCACGAUCGUCACACAGACCGUCACCACAACAAGAAUCAAAAAGACAAGCAGCAUGAAUCCGUACACGUAGUAUACCUGCCACGAAAUGUACGGUGAGUUUUGCUCUUUCUAACUGAAGUUGUAAGCUGUGUAAGAGAUCUUUUUACCUUGUAAUUCCAGAAGGAUGUGAAGACAAAGUACAUUUCGAUGAAGAUGCUGCCGAAGGGUAAGAGACCUCCCAUAAGAGAGACUACUGAUGGAGUCAAGUACCACUUCUUCUCAGGGAUUGGACGUGGGAUUGUCUUCACACGGCAUGGGUUGUUUGGGGCACCACUCCAGUUUCUACCAACGACUGUCCCAAGGAGGGCGAGAGGGAAUGAAAUGAAGCCCCAAAUAACGAACACAACCACCAUCGUUCCAAAGGGAAUAGCGGCAAGAGAACCGUAGAAUAUAGCGAUUGUGUUUAGGAUGAAUCCAAUCCCAAAGCACAAGAAUGGGAAGAGCGAAGCCGUGAGGAUUAUGCACUUGAUCCAAUGUUUACCUGAGCAAAAGAAGUAUCAAGAGAAUUUGAGAAUGAGUCGAAGGAAGGUGUGUUAUUGGAGAGCUUGCUUGCUGUUUUCAACAAAGAUGGAAACAACAUACCCCCACUUCUUGAGUACAUUCCACCGCUCACAUAACCAGAGAUAAAUGACGUCAGAGCGUAGCAAACUAUGAAAGUUGUGACGAUCGCUCCUCUCCUGAACAAGGUUAAACCAGAAUGAUUUUCAGACAAAAGCUAAUCACUUACUCCGUGAGAAAUAACAACAUGAGAAGUUGAUUGAAAGUAGGAGUGUAAUACAUACCCAACAUAAAGUGUCCCAAUGAUUGCCAUUAGUAUGACAAGAAGAACAAGCAAAGCCAACUGUGCACCCGUACCAACAACAGCUGAGAGAAGAACCAGACCACGUGGUGGUCGGAACACAUCUCCGUGCACGAGUUUCCAUCCAGAUUCCUCAUUUACAUCCCGUUCCUGUUAUCAAUGCAUACCAGCUGUCAGAAGUUGCUCCACACUCUUGCACUAACGAUGAAGACAAAAUUGACAACAUCGUAGUAACACUAAGAGAACUUCUGCAGAUAUUAUUCUAGAUAAUAGAUUGAGGAAAAUCACCAGGCUCUCAAGGUCGUCGUCUUCUCGAGCAUAUUUAGCAUAAUCAUUUCUGAGAGUCCUCAUUAAUAUCAUUGAGACCAAACCAGUGAGGAAGAUAACCAUCAUGAACGAGUUAAAGAUGGAGAACCAAUGGAUCUGCAUCAUUAAUGAAUCCAUUAACGGAGCAUUAAGUGUAAUAGGUAUCUAAUUAUGAAGCGAAUGAAAUAAUGUCUGAUAGCAGAAGGAUGAAAACAGUAAGACAUAACAUGCUAUGAUUUACCUGGUGUUCGAAGAAAGGAUAGUCUAGAUAAACAUCAAAACGACGAGCAAAUGUGAUGUCGGUUGGGAUCCAAUUCACAGAAUAUGUCAAAUCAACCGUCCUCCCUGCUUCUAACGGCAUUGGGUUGUCUUGUGUGAGAUUCACAUGAAUAAUCUAUGCAAAUAAAAAAAAGUCAGAUCACAGAAAAGUAAAUAUGAGAUCCUUAAUAAUCUGCUUAAUCACAAAGAAACAACCAACCUGGUCUUUGUUGUAUUUGACAUUAAUACUCUUAUGAGUGUAAAGAGCAUGCUUGCCGUUUUCACUUUUCUUUCCAGGAGGCAGCUCGCCCACAAAACCUAUAACAGCAAUGAGAUAGUCAAAAAUCUAUAUAAGGAACUGAAAUUAAAAUUUUGGUUCUUCAAACUGAAUAUAAGAAAAUAUCAUACCCCACAAAGGCAAAUCAUCUGAAUUUGCAUCCACGUACGCCAUAAACAUAAAAUGCCAAUAAGAAGAAAGACAACAGAUAAGCAAAUAAAGGAUGCUAAACAAAAUUAGUUACACUGAUACAAGAAUAGAGGAAUUACGAUGAUGUUGUAGUAUUAGCUCAUUUUUAAACAAUGUUCAUAGCGCAGCAAGUUGAAUUCCCUUGAUGUACAUAGAGACUUUCUAUUUCAUAUGUAACGCUGACAGUAAGUCUUUUAUGAAAACAAUCAACAUCUUUUCUUUGAUACUUCGUCAUCAGUUAUAUGUAUAAGUAAAUGUGAUACAUACCCAUAAACAACUCAAACCAGUAACUAUUUUCGAUGGCAUCUUUGAAAUGCUUGACCUUAGCUUCAUCAAGUUCCAACUGACAGAUCACGCUUCUGUCAACAUUUUCUGGAAGUAAAACAGAAGUAGGCAAUGUAAGUGUUGUGCAAGCAAAAUUUGAAAGAAAAAAUAGCAAAAGAACUAACAUACUCAAGAACUUUAUGUCUAUCUGGCUGUCGAUGAGCUCAUUUCCACCAAGGACCUCACCAAGACCACCCCAUUUGUGAAUGCUGUUUUCAGUUUUGCGGCAAAACGGGAGGCUAUAAUAGUUAUAUGUUUCUUGUGGAUUAUUAUAUGGGCCAACUUUGUUAACCCAAAGAGUAACCUGCUCAUCNNNNNNNNNNNNNNNNNNNNNNNNNNNNNNNNNNNNNNNNNNNNNNNNNNNNNNNNNNNNNNNNNNNNNNNNNNNNNNNNNNNNNNNNNNNNNNNNNNNNNNNNNNNNNNNNNNNNNNNNNNNNNNNNNNNNNNNNNNNNNNNNNNNNNNNNNNNNNNNNNNNNNNNNNNNNNNNNNNNNNNNNNNNNNNNNNNNNNNNNNNNNNNNNNNNNNNNNNNNNNNNNNNNNNNNNNNNNNNNNNNNNNNNNNNNNNNNNNNNNNNNNNNNNNNNNNNNNNNNNNNNNNNNNNNNNNNNNNNNNNNNNNNNNNNNNNNNNNNNNNNNNNNNNNNNNNNNNNNNNNNNNNNNNNNNNNNNNNNNNNNAAAAAAAAAAAAAAGAGAAGGUUAGGGAAAAAUGUCGACAUACUUGGCGUGUGCCCACAACAUUCUAGAGAAUUUAUUACCAAAUGUCUCCCUUCUCUUAAAAGUCGACUCUAAACCCGUUGCCCAAACUGCAUCAGGAUGUCGACACAUUACUUGUUCCUUUCUCCAACUUAUAUUUUAUUUCUGUAACCAACCUAUCGAGAUUCUCGUACUUACCUCCCACUCAUUCAUGUUGUUGGAUGUUUCCGGGAUAUCCUCUUACGCAAAUCUCUCCACUUUUUUUCAUGAUCCCAACGAGAUCUUCUUCUUAGUCACCCAAUGUUCGUCAAUCUCUGAUUUGAUCCCAUCCUUUGCAAUUUGUGAUAUUGAAUUGAAAAAUAGCUGAUUCUGGGUUUUAUUGUUUAGGUUCUUUGGAACUCGUUCCUGAGCCUCACUCUCAGGUAUUUCAUCGAACACCUUGUCAACAAUCUCCAUUGAAAGAAUGAUUCAUACUUUUUUUUUCCAUCUUAAUUUAAAGUCUUUGCAUCUAAUUUGAAGUUUGAUUUGUGAAGGUCUUCGCAAUCUCACAUUGAAUAUAAGAAUUUUACACGAACUUACCUGUUUAAAGAUUCAUACUUUUGUUCUGUUCUGUUUUAUCUGCUUAAAAGAUUCAUACUUUUCUUCUGUUAUGUUUGGUUCUAUUCUGUUUAAAGAUUCUUACUUUUGUUCUCUUCUGUGCUAAAAAAAAACAGCAACAGAGUCCAUUUUGCAGAUAGUUCCCGACACAAUGGCUGCUUCAUCAUCAACCAUCCUCUGCAAUGCCUCCGAGUCAGACCCUUGUCGUGACGACUCCGCAGCGUUUCUACUGAAACUAGUAGCCAUUGCUUCGAUUCUCUUAUCUGGCGCAGCAGGUGUAUCUGUACCACUCAUAGGCAGAAACCGCCGGUUCCUUCAAACCGACGGCAGCCUCUUUGUAACCGCUAAAGCCUUUGCAGCAGGUGUGAUCCUCGCCACUGGGUUUGUUCACAUGUUAGCCGGUGGCGCGGAGGCUUUGAAGAACCCGUGCUUACCGGAGUUCCCUUGGUCUAAGUUUCCUUUCCCGGGGUUCUUUGCUAUGGUUGCUGCUUUGAUCACUCUGCUUGUGGAUUUCAUGGGGACUCAGUACUAUGAGAGGAAGCAAGAGAGGGAAGCUGAUGAUGAUCAGUUGCAGGGUAUUGUUGUUCCCUUGGUUGGUGAAGGAGGAUGUAACGAUGAGAAAGUGUUUGGAGAAGAAGACAAUGGUGGAAUUCACAUUGUUGGCAUUCAUGCUCAUGCUGCUCACCAUAGACAUAGUCACCCUCAUGGUCAUGGUUCGUGUGAUGGACACAGUAAAAUCGACAUUGGUCAUGGACAUGGACACGUGCAUGGGGGUUUGGAGCUUGGAAGUGGUGCAAGGCAUGUUGUUGUUUCUCAGGUACAAACUCUUUCUUGAUUCUUGUACAGCUUUAAAAUGUCCAAAAAUGAAUCUUUAUAUGAUUUGGUUAGGUUUUGGAGCUUGGGAUCGUGUCACACUCCAUUAUCAUCGGCAUAUCACUUGGAGUAUCUCAGUCUCCAUGCACAAUCCGGCCACUCAUCGCAGCACUAUCCUUCCACCAAUUCUUUGAAGGGUUUGCGCUCGGUGGAUGCAUCUCCCAAGCGCAGUUCAGGAACAAGUCAGCGACCAUAAUGGCAUGCUUUUUCGCCCUCACGACGCCUAUAGGGAUAGGGAUUGGAACUGCAGUGGCGUCGUCUUUCAACUCUCACAGCGUUGGAGCGUUGGUCACGGAAGGUGUAUUGGAUUCGCUGUCGGCAGGGAUACUUGUGUACAUGGCUUUGGUGGAUCUUAUAGCUGCUGAUUUCUUGAGUAAGAGGAUGAGUUGUAACUUUAGGCUUCAGAUUGUUUCUUAUUUGAUGUUGUUCCUUGGAGCUGGACUCAUGUCUUCUCUUGCUAUUUGGGCUUAGAUUGUGAGAUUCUUUCUUUUGUUAUAGCUGCUACAAACAAUGUGUAUAGUUCUAGAAUAAUCAAAUCUCGGAUGAGUUAUUCUUUCUUCUGUUGCCUGGAUGUUUUUGUUCUACAGUUUCCUUAUAAAAUAGAGGAAUUGGAAUUAAGUAUGCGAAAAAAAUAUAUUAAAAAAGUAUCUCCAAUGUUCAAAGACAAUGUUUUGAGAUUAUAAAAAUAAAAAAAAUAAAUAAAAGGGAGAUAAGGUUAGAUUUUCAUCAAAGGUGCACCACUCAUAGUCCUCAAAGAAACUGUACUUCCAGUGUUCAAAGAUAACGUUUAGAUUCUCAUCAAAAGUUCUUCAGAAAUUGCAUUACCAUAAGUUUGAAACAGUUAUCCAUUGAUCUAACCAAAAGAUGGUCCAAACCAAGAACAAUUACAACAGACAACAAUAUAGAUUAUACUAAAGUAACAACAAACUCAACCCAAAAUGUAAAGACAUGAAUGAUUAUGAAACCAUCAAAAGCAGCAUGUUAAUGGAGCUUUUGUCUUAAACAAUGUCAUCUUCUCUGUGGGUCUCAAUGGUAACAUCAGAAGUUGGAUAAGCCGCACAGGUGAGAACAAACCCUUCAGCAAUCUGGUCAUCAUCGAGGAAACUCUGGUCAGACUGGUCAACAAAACCAGACACAACUUUACCUGCACAGCUCGAGCAAGAACCGGCACGGCAAGAGUAAGGCAAGUCGAUCCCGGCUUCCUCAGCAGCGUCGAGGACGUAAACGUCGUCGUCGCACUCAACCUCUUGCUCUCCUUCGGGAGUGAUGAACUUGACCUUGUAUGUAGCCAUGGCUGUGACGCGUCCACCACGUGCGGUUCCUGACUUGAGGCCGAAGAGGGUCUGAGUGUUGGCUAAGGGGAGGGAACGGAGGCUGAUGGGAGAUGUUUGACGGCGGAGGAAGGAUGUUCCGACGAUGACGCUUGAGAUAGCUGUGGAGGCCAUUUCUUUUCUUUAGAGGAUUUGAGAAGGUUUCUUGGUUUCUCUGUGGGUUAUGGCUUGUGGAAAUGGCAUGGAGAGAUUAAAAGGUGAGACUGUGGUGGAAUCCUAUCUUCCACGUGGCGUUUAUCUUGUGGGUUGGUGGCUUAUCAUCUUCAUGUUCUGGUGAAUUGUGAUUUGUUUCCUUUUUGUGUGUGAUUGUGUUUGACACACUUUACACUAUCUUGUUGAUGUGAGCUGUACGUGGUGUUAUUUGGGACAACUCACACUAGAUUAGACGGACCAAACUGAAAUUGUUG
rnacentral:lncRNA from 1 species